rnacentral:tRNA from 1 species
GGUGGGGUGACUGAGUGGUCGAAAGUACCGGUCUUGAAAACCGGCGAACGCGAGUUCCCAGGGUUCGAAUCCCUGCCCCACCGCCA